rnacentral:rRNA from 1 species
GACAGAGGUGCCGAGCGUUAGGCGGAAUCACUGGGCUUAAAGCGUGUGUAGGCGGGUCGUUAAGUGUCUUGUGAAAUCCCCCGGCUCAACCGGGGAAUGGCUGGGCAUACUGGCGAUCUUGAGCAGGCUAGGGGCAGAUGGAACAAGUGGUGGAGCGGUGAAAUGCGUAGAUAUCACUUGGAACGCCAAAGGUGAAAACAGUCUGCUGGGGACUUGCUGACGCUGAGACACGAAAGCCAGGGGAGCGAACGGG